rnacentral:rRNA from 1 species
UACCAGCUCUUCGAGUGGUGUGGAUGUUUAUUGGGCCUAAAGCAUCCGUAGCUGGCUGGGCAAGUCCCCUGUUAAAUCCACCGAUUUAAUCGUUGGAGUGCGGGGGAUACUGUUCGGCUAGGGGACGGGAGAGGCAGACGGUAUUUUCGGGGUAGGGGUGAAAUCCUAUAAUCCCGAGAAGACCACCAGUGGCGAAGGCUGUCUGCUAGAACGCGCCCGACGGUGAGGGAUGAAAGCUGGGGGAGCGAACCGGAUUAGAUACCCGGGUAGUCCCAGCUGUAAACGAUGCAGGCUAGGUGUUUGGACGGCCACGUGCCGUUCUAGUGCCGCAGGGAAGCCGUUAAGCCUGCCGCCUGGGGAGUACGGCCGCAAGGCUGAAACUUAAAGGAAUUGGCGGGGGAGCACCACAAGGCGUGAAGCUUGCGGUUC